rnacentral:rRNA from 1 species
UACAGAGGGUGCAAGCGUUGUUCGGAAUUACUGGGCGUAAAGCGCGUGUAGGUGGCGAUGUAAGUCGGGUGUGAAAUCCCCUCAGCUUAACUGAGGAAGUGCACUCGAUACUGUGUCGCUUGAGUGUUGGAGGGGAUGGCGGAAUUCCCGGUGUAGAGGUGAAAUUCGUAGAUAUCGGGAGGAACACCUGUGGCGAAGGCGGCCAUCUGGACAACUACUGACACUGAGGCGCGACAGCGUGGGGAGCAAACAGG